CAUGCAAGUCGAGCGGUAGAGAGAAGCUUGCCUCUCUUGAGAGCGGCGGACGGGUGAGUAAUGCCUAGGAAUCUGCCUGGUAGUGGGGGAUAACGUUCGGAAACGGACGCUAAUACCGCAUACGUCCUACGGGAGAAAGCAGGGGACCUUCGGGCCUUGCGCUAUCAGAUGAGCCUAGGUCGGAUUAGCUAGUUGGUGAGGUAAUGGCUCACCAAGGCGACGAUCCCGUAACUGGUCUGAGAGGAUGAUCAGUCACACUGGAACUGAGACACGGUCCAGACUCCUACGGGAGGACAGCAGUGGGGAAUAUUGGACAAUGGGCGAAAGCCCUGAUCCCAGCCAUGCCGCGUGUGUGAAGAAGGUCUUCGGAUUGUAAAGCACUUUAAGUUGGGAGGAAGGGCAGUUACCUAAUACGUGAUUGUUUUGACGUUACCGACAGAAUAAGCACCGGCUAACUCUGUGCCAGCAGCCGCGGUAAUACAGAGGGUGCAAGCGUUAAUCGGAAUUACUGGGCGUAAAGCGCGCGUAGGUGGUUAGUUAAGUUGGAUGUGAAAGCCCUGGGCUCAACCUGGGAACUGCAUGGGAUACUGGCAGUCUAGAAUACAGUAGAGGGUAGUGGAAUUUCAGGUGUAGCGGUGAAAUGCGUAGAGAUCUGAAGGAACAUCAGUGGCGAAGGCGACUACCUGGACUGAUAUUGACGCUGAGGUGCGAAAGCGUGGGGAGCAAACGGGAUUAGAUACCCCGGUAGUCCAGUAGAGGGUAGUGGAAUUUCAGGUGUAGCGGUGAAAUGCGUAGAGAUCUGAAGGAACAUCAGUGGCGAAGGCGACUACCUGGACUGAUAUUGACGCUGAGGUGCGAAAGCGUGGGGAGCAAACGGGAUUAGAUACCCCGGUAGUCCACGCCGUAAACGAUGUCAACUAGUUGUUGGGUAUAUAAAGAUACUUAGUGACGAAGAGCUAAGCCGGUAAGUUGACCGCCUGGGGAGUACGGCCGCAAGGUUAAAACUCAAAUGAAUUGACGGGGGCCCGCACAAGCGGUGGAGCAUGUGGUUUAAUUCGAUGCAACGCGAAGAACCUUACCAGGUCUUGACAUCCCGAGAAUUUGCUAGAGAUAGCUUAGUGCCUUCGGGAACAUUGAGACAGGUGCUGCAUGGCUGUCGUCAGCUCGUGUCGUGAGAUGUUGGGUUAAGUCCCGUAACGAGCGCAACCCUUGUCCUUAGUUGCCAGCACGUAAUGGUGGGAACUCUAAGGAGACUGCCGGUGACAAACCGGAGGAAGGUGGGGACGACGUCAAGUCAUCAUGGCCCUUACGACCUGGGCUACACACGUGCUACAAUGGUCGGUACAGAGGGUUGCCAAGCCGCGAGGUGGAGCUAAUCCCAGAAAACCGAUCGUAGUCCGGAUUGGAGUCUGCAACUCGACUCCAUGAAGUCGGAAUCGCUAGUAAUCGCGAAUCAGAAUGUCGCGGUGAAUACGUUCCCGGGCCUUGUACACACCGCCCGUCACACCAUGGGAGUGGGUUGCAAAAGAAGUGGGUAGACUAACCUUAGGGAGGUCG
rnacentral:rRNA from 1 species